rnacentral:rRNA from 1 species
UACGUAGGGUGCGAGCGUUGUCCGGAAUUAUUGGGCGUAAAGAGCUUGUAGGCGGUUUGUCGCGUCUGCUGUGAAAAUCCGGGGCUCAACCCCGGACUUGCAGUGGGUACGGGCAGACUAGAGUGUGGUAGGGGAGACUGGAGUUCCUGGUGUAGCGGUGAAAUGCGCAGAUAUCAGGAGGAACACCGAUGGCGAAGGCAGGUCUCUGGGCCACUACUGACGCUGAGAAGCGAAAGCAUGGGGAGCGAACAGGAUUAGAUA